AGCGAACGCUGGCGGCAGGCUUAACACAUGCAAGUCGAACGGAUCCUUCGGGAUUAGUGGCGGACGGGUGAGUAACACGUGGGAACGUGCCUUUUGGUUCGGAACAACACAGGGAAACUUGUGCUAAUACCGGAUGUGCCCUUCGGGGGAAAGGAUUUAUCGCCAUUAGAGCGGCCCGCGUCUGAUUAGCUAGUUGGUGAGGUAAAGGCUCACCAAGGCUACGAUCAGUAGCUGGUCNGAGAGGAUGAUCAGCCACACUGGGACUGAGACACGGCCCAGACUCCUACGGGAGGCAGCAGUGGGGAAUCUUGCGCAAUGGGGGAAACCCUGACGCAGCCAUGCCGCGUGAAUGAUGAAGGUCUUAGGAUUGUAAAAUUCUUUCAGCGGGGACGAUAAUGACGGUACCCGCAGAAGAAGCUCCGGCUAACUUCGUGCCAGCCG
rnacentral:rRNA from 1 species